rnacentral:rRNA from 1 species
ACGGGAGGCAGCAGUGGGGAAUAUUGCACAAUGGGGGAAACCCUGAUGCAGCGACGCCGCGUGAGUGAAGAAGUAUUUCGGUAUGUAAAGCUCUAUCAGCAGGGAAGAAAAUGACGGUACCUGACUAAGAAGCUCCGGCUAAAUACGUGCCAGCAGCCGCGGUAAUACGUAUGGAGCAAGCGUUAUCCGGAUUUACUGGGUGUAAAGGGAGUGUAGGUGGUAUCACAAGUCAGAAGUGAAAGCCCGGGGCUCAACCCCGGGACUGCUUUUGAAACUGUGGAACUAGAGUGCAGGAGGGGUGAGUGGAAUUCCUAGUGUAGCGGUGAAAUGCGUAGAUAUUAGGAGGAACACCAGUGGCGAAGGCGGCUCACUGGACUGUAACUGACACUGAGGCUCGAAAGCGUGGGGAGCAAACAGGAUUAGAUACCCUGGUA